AUUGAACGCUGGCGGCAUGCCUUACACAUGCAAGUCGAACGGUAGAGGGGGCAACCCCUUGAGAGUGGCGAACGGGUGAGUAAUAUAUCGGAACGUGCCCAGUCGUGGGGGAUAACGUAGCGAAAGUUACGCUAAUACCGCAUACGAUCUAAGGAUGAAAGCGGGGGAUCGCAAGACCUCGCGCGAUUGGAGCGGCCGAUAUCAGAUUAGGUAGUUGGUGAGGUAAAGGCUCACCAAGCCGACGAUCUGUAGCUGGUCUGAGAGGACGACCAGCCACACU
rnacentral:rRNA from 1 species